UGGGGUUCUUUGAUAUGCUGAAUCUAAACAUGUACUUAGUUUUUUUGAUUAUGGGCCCAGUAUUCAAGUUGGUCCAAAUCGGGGUCCAAAAUUAAACUUUGUUUGAUUUCAACAAAAAUUCAAUAUAUGGGGUUCUUCAAUAUGCUGAAUCCAACCAUGCAUUUAGAUUUUUAAUAUUUAGGACCGGUUAUCAAAUUGGUUCACAUUGAGGUCUAAAGGGUCCACAAUUGAACUUUAUUUGAUUUCAUCAAAAAUUGAAUUCUUGGGGUUCUUUGAUAUGAUGAAUCUAACCAUGUAUUUAGAUUUUGGAUAUUGGAAUACCACAAAGGGAUGGUAAGAAUUGUCUUUGGGAGUUAGGGCUCAAACUGUUAAGGAAUACGGUGCAAAAAAGGGGGGAAAAGGGUUUCCAGGUUAAUGGACAAUUACUUAAGUACAAAACAUAAUUUAAAAGCAG
rnacentral:lncRNA from 1 species